GCAAGGGUGUUCGUCGUGUUUCAGAAGGUUAAUAAAAGAUUAUUGAUUGAUAGAUUAUAAUUUGUAUUAACUUAAUGAUUUGAUGUCAGUGUUCCUUUUCUAUUAUUCUUAUUAAGUAAUAUCCUACUUUUGGAAAGAACAAUAUGAUGCAACAAGUAGCUGUUUAUAGGUAAAACAGCAAAAAAUCGGUUUUUGUCCGGGCGGCGGCCCCCCUCUACGGCUUAUGGGUUCAUCCUCACGGGACACUCAGUAUAAGUGCAUUUAUAAACACAACUUGGGUUAUAUCUACCAGACAAAAACGAUAAACAGCGACUCUCAAAAUUGAAAAUUCAAACAAGACCGAGGCCACGACAAACUAUAAUAACUAAUAUUUUGUCGAUAUAUGGAAGGAAACCAUUCAAUAUGGGCAAUAUUACAUUAAGUUAAUUGACAGCCAUUGGUUAAAUGCAUCUAUUCAAGCACUAACUCUUCCUACGUUUGAAGAAUUUUGUAUGCCAUUAAUCAUUAUGAUGUUCAACUACUUGCGAUUUCUAUUGAUAUGAAGUUAGUAUAUCCGACACUCUUAUUUUAAAAAUGUACACAAUUAAAGUGGCAAACAUCACAAAAAAAUAAUUAAGAGCUGGAAUCACGGUCAUAGCCCCCCAAAAAUAAAUAAAUAUUCAAAUGGAGCCCCCCAUGGA